rnacentral:rRNA from 1 species
UUCCGGUUGAUCCUGCCGGACCUGACUGCUAUCGGAUUGGUACUAAGCCAUGCGAGUCGUUGUAGCAAUACAAGGCGGACGGCUCAGUAACACGUAGUCAACCUAACCUAUGGACGUGGAUAACCUCGGGAAACUGAGAAUAAACCGCGAUAGAUCAUAAUACCUGGAAUGGUUUAUGGUUCAAAUAAUUUAUUGCCGUAGGAUGGGACUGCGGCCUAUCAGCUUGUUGGUGAGGUAAUGGCCCACCAAGGCUAUAACAGGUACGGGCUCUGAGAGGAGAAGCCCGGAGAUGGGUACUGAGACACGGACCCAGGCCCUAUGGGGCGCAGCAGGCGAGAAACCUUAGCAAUGUGCGAAAGCACGACUAGGUUAAUCCGAGUGAUUUCUGUUGAAGAAAUCCUUUGUCAGUCGUAAAACCACAGACGAAUAAGGGGUGGGCAAGUCUGGUGUCAGCCGCCGCGGUAAUACCAGCACCUCGAGUGGUCAGGAGGUUUAUUGGGCCUAAAGCAUCCGUAGCCGGCUAUGCAAGUCUCCGGUUAAAUCCAACUGCUCAACAGAUGGGCUGCCGGAGAUACUACACAGCUAGGGAGCGGGAGAGGUAGACGGUAUUCUGUGGGUAGGGGUAAAAUCCACUGAUCCAUAGAGGACCACCAGUGGCGAAGGCGGUCUACCAGAACGCGUUCGACGGUGAGGGAUGAAAGCUGGGGGAGCAAACCGGAUUAGAUACCCGGGUAGUCCCAGCUGUAAACGAUGCAAACUCGGUGAUGCAUUGACUUAUGGUCAAUGCAGUGCCGCAGGAAGCCGUUAAGUUUGCCGCCUGGGAAGUACGGACGCAAGUCUGAACUUAAAGGAUU